CAAGCGAGAGAGAGAAGGCAGCAAUCAUGGAGGCUCACCAGAAGCUCUUUGAUUUCCAGAUGCUCUCCAGGUGGGUAGAAUGGAGAUGGAGACAGGCUGGGUAAAGGCAGCUCAUGAAUUAAUACCUUAACACUCAGAGGGAGGUUCUGAUUCAAAGGAGCUGCAGAUCACUCUACCUGGGCAGCAGGAACAUUGGGUGAGGGUGGCAUGUGCCAGGAUUGGGGGUUUGAAACAACAUAAGAUCGUUGAUUUAGGUAGAUGCCAGGUGAUGGGGGACCUUGGAUGCCGUAUUAUAUAUGCACUCGUUAUUUCAAAGGUAGUGGGACAGCGCUGAAGAGGAAGAAACACAGUGUUUGUACUUCAGGAGACUCACUCUAGGCGCUGGGUGAAGGGUGCAUUGGUUGCAGGAGCAGAGUCAGAGAACUCUGUCUGCAUAGAGGUGACUUGUUAAUACCAGAGGGCAAACAGGCAUGAAUUUACCAAGAGCAGCCAUGGAGAUGGCGAAAGAGGACAUGCGAGAUGUUAGACGAUCUCUGCCUUCUUCUGCCUCCCAGAAAGCGCUUUGUAUUUACUCUUCUGUCCCAGGAAGUGGAGGAUGGGGCUACUGUAGACAGGUGGGCUGGAGAAUUCUGUUUAUUUGUUUAACACCUGCUUCCAUUUGCCUUCCCUUUUACUUCUAGGGCAUUGCAUUCAAGUCUUUUAGACACUAGAAAAGAAAAAAGGGGUGGAAAAUAGCAUCCUAGUUCCUUAAAAGCAAAAUAAUUAAUCGGUUAUGAAUGAGCUGAGUUUAUUAUUUCUUCACUAAGCCAGGAUUUCCUGUAAUGAAUUUUGUCAGGAAGAUCUAAUUAAACAUAAUAGCCGUCACUGAGAAUAGUAACAGGAAACAUGUUAAGCAGUCUCUUGCUAGGUAGUUUUUGCCUGUGUUGUUACCUCUCCUAAACCUUACGGUGCACUUUUCUCUAAGGAAUAUACACUCUCCGUCUCUGCGAAUUAUUGAAGGACCCAGUUACAUACAUCUUUGCCAACAUAAAAGCUUUACCCUCUGGCAUAUGGAAGAGGAAUAGUGGUUCCUGCAGAAAUGUAGCAAAUCUCCCCUUUUGAUCUGGUGCAAGAUGAAUUUAAGGAUAUCUAGAUCUGACUCAAAUAGCUAUUCUUUACAUAACCAUAAGUCACAUAAUAAGUCCAAGUUGAAUGUCAAUUGUGUUCGUCUUUAGUUUAAUGCAAAAAGAUAUUUCUAAUGGAAAUAUCGAAGCUCCAUAUCUAAUGAAAAUGGGUCAAAUCAGCAAGCUUAAACUCCACUUACCAUUUAUACAACUGCCACAUUUAUUAAUUUUAAGGUUUUGGCAGUAAAUUCAAGAAUAUGCAAGUGAUAAGGAGUUGAAAGAAAAGACUUUUCCACCCCAGACCUGCUCGGGUUAUUAGCAUUCCCUCUGCUCCUGCGUUCUUCUUUUUCUCCCAACAUAACAUCUCGAGGCUUAAGAAGAAAAGACUUAUUGGAUUCUCUGUUGUCAAUUGGACAAGUCCUCUCUGGGGUCCUUUCUGUCAAGAUCCUCAGAUUCCAUUUGAAUUUAAAACAGACCUGUAGGCUUGGGCAACACAGCAGCCCUGCGUUCAGGGAAGCAGAAAGAGUUAUUUUUAAAAUAUCGUACAAGAUCUUCAUUCCCGAGGCUGGUUAAGGGAAACUGGCGGAUGCUUCAGAACAUUUGUAGGCUGCUAACUACUACAGGUGAUCCUUAAAGGAAUGGUGAUCACAGAAGACAGCAAUUAUUGAAUUGCACACCUGAAUUUUUCAGCUGAGUUGUACAAAAUGUAAUGGACUAAAACAUUUAAGGAAUCGUGUAGCCCGAGGAACUCUGGGGCUAUUGGAGCAAGACUCUUCUCUUCUCAAAGAUUAUCUGACUGUUUCUUGCUUUAUGUCAAAUGACCAUGAUUUUAAUCUCUCCCCUAUUAAAAUCUGGAAGAAUGAUCCUACAGCACAUUUUUUUUCAAGCAGUUAGAUUUUGGUUAUUUUUCACUUCUUUUUUUCAACUGUCAAACUAAUGCCCUAAUUAUUUAAAUAUUUUAAGUUAAAGUAUGUGAUAUAUUUAGAAAAAGCAAGGGAGAAUUGAUUCAGUCAUCAAAAGAAGAGAAGAAAAACAUAAUAUGUAUGAUAAAAGAUCAUCAUUAAUAAAUGUUUGUGGGACUCAUGUAUUUUAGAUACAAAAGUAAACUUUAUAAUAAAGUUUCCUCCUCUUUCUUAACAGUCUUUUUUCCCAGUGUAAUGCUUAUCACAUUCCUUUUAAAGAUAUUUGGGACAUAUUUAAUUUUAUUCAUAUAAUUAUCUAAACUAAUAUUUGUCUCCUCUUAUUGGAAGAGAUGUAAAACCAAAAGAUGUGAAUCUCUGUCUUUUAAUGGGUACUUAACUCCAAUUGAUUUUACUGACAAGAGUGCUUUUGGGAGAAUUCUCCUAAUAUUCUACAACAUAAAAUGUCCCUGCACUCUCUCUCCUCUCUGUCACUUCUCCCUCCCCCCUCAGCCCCUCCAUUCUUUCCAGGCUAUCCCUGACUAUUUGCAAAUCUCUCUGCUUGAUUGCCCCUUCCUUCCUCCUCUCCAGCUAAGUCCAUAAUUCUCACAUAAUGUUUUGAAUCAAGACAUACUUUGCUAUUUUCUUCAAGUUGUAGCUAGAUGUCAGUUCCAUUCUUACAAAUAUUCCUAGCUCAUGGAACAUAUUUUCUGCUGAGCACUGUGAAAUUUAAUUCAGAAGUAGUGCUUUAUUGAUGCUUCGUUUUUGUGACCUUUCCAGUCCUGUGUUGGUGACAUAUUGGUCCUCUGUCUCCUGUGCUUUGAGAAUCUAAUAGAUAGGAUGGAAUGGGUCAGAUCAUGAAAGUCCCUGGUACAUUAACUUUCAAUUUCAUGAAUGUCUGAAUAUUGCAGAGAAGAUGAAUAGCAAGGCUUCCUUUGCUUUUACAUUUUAACAUUUAUAAGCUAGUUAAAUUUCCCUUGUAUUAUCAGCAGUCCUAGUCUACAAUAUUAACACACACAUUUAUAUUUUUGAGUAGUCGUGUAAGAGUUUAAAAUAAUUUAUAAACCACAGAGCGGGCAACUUACAAAGGCAUGCUACUAAAGGAGAUGAAUACAUAGGAGUUUCAUUUCAUACGAGUUGCAGCAUAACAAGCCUACACAGAAAAGUCGUCGUCUUUAUUUCUUCUUGUUUUACCGAGGGGAGGGGAGAGUUGCGGUCUGUAGUCAGUCCUACAGCGCGUCUGCUUUAGGUAGCUACAGUCAUCCCCGAAAGCAGUGUUAUUGUUUUGAAGAAGCAUUCAUCUCCUCCAAGGACACUACAGCAAGUGUAGUCAUUGGAAAGAAUCUGUUGAAAGGAUCUAACCUUUGGGAGGAGGCUCAAAAGCACCAGAGUGAUAAGAAACAUUGAAAGAGCCUGAGUAAUUAGGCGAGGACAAGGAUGAGAAGGCACACAGCUGUUAAAUUGUUGGGGUUCGGACACUGAAAUGUGAACUCAUUUGUAUCCCCUUGGGUUAUUUCAUAGGCAUUACAUCAUCUGCUCUUGCCCUGCUCCAUGCUCACCCCUGUGUUUAUAGUCUCCAUCCUUGUGAAAUAUGGCCAGAAUUAAACAAUGCAGUUUGGUCUUUUGGGUGGCAAUUGAUAUUCCAGCUGUAUGUAAAGACUUGUGCUAUCUUACCAUGCUAGGAAAGUGUCUAUAUAAAUAGGGAUUAUACUGGUAAGAAACACAGGCACUGGUUUAAGUCCACCAGAGACUCUGACAUGGAAAGUCCGACUAACCUGUGUUCCUUAAAUAUGCAAUUAAAUGUCUGGAGUGUAUGCCUUUAUAUUUUGACACAGAAAUGAAAGAGGAGUCUACACUGAGUCAGGGAGGAUACGAGAGUGUGGAGUGAUUCUUAGGUUUGGGCCAGCUUCAUUAUCUGGUUUUGUUGGGAAGAUGCUAGGCUUUGGCUCCGGCUCCAGGCUCUCCCAUGGUGAUAGCCAGUCUCCCAGGGGGGCAUCAGUUUCCUCAGUUGCUGCUUCACUUAAACAAUUACUGGGAUCCUUUCUGUCCAGCUCAUUUUACUUCAUCCCAGUCCCCGCAUGCAGCCUUCAGUCACGAUGAUCUAUCAAUGCCUUCAUCAUCUUUAGAUCUGCCAGAUGUCCUCUGUCGCCUGUGAAAGAGGGUGCUGUGGGCAGAGGCUUGGUCCUAUGGCUUUGCCUUUUCCUUUGUGUUCUGCUGAGUGACUCAGGCUUCCGAUCUCCAUUACCACCACUGCCCUGCCUUGCCCUGCACCUCUGCAGCUUCCGGCUGGGCCUACCUGCAGAUUGUGUAGCUGUCGAUGUGCAGCGUCUCUGCACUUCCCUUAGCUAAGUAAAUAAGGCUUUGCAUCACAUUUACUUUACUUAAGAACAAAUACUGGUUUCUGUUUCCCCAGUAGGAACCUAACAUACUCACUCUCUGCAACUCUCCCAUAUAUACCCCCUGACACACACACACACACACACACACACACACUACUCUCCAGGCAGACUAAAUAUUAAGUUUUUCAUCAAUCAGAUCCCUUCAGCCAUAUCACACUGGCUGCUUCCUUUCCUAUUGAUUACGUAACCAAUUUUCAAUUGGUUAACAUGCAGGUUCAGAAAUAUUACCAUCCCAUGUUCUUGUCUAGUGCAUAAUGCCAGAAAUUCUCUAACUACAUAUGGACUUUUGGAGUUGUUUGCACUUACAUUGAGGCAUGCAUCACUUCUUUUUAUGCACUGUUUAAAAAUAUGUUCUCCCAUUGUUUCUUAAAUUCUGUCAUGGAAUCUUUUCUAUCUGUAUUCCUCAUGGAACUAAUGCAAUAUCAUUUACAUAUUAUGUGCUAAAAAUAUUUAGUGAAUGCACAAAUGCUUUCAAGCCAAAAAUGAAGUCAUAUGAAAAUGCUCCUUUGUUAAUAAUGAUAUUGUUGCUAGUUAACUGGAAGAAUUUCUCUUUUUUUAACUUUUUUAUUUAUUUAUUUAUUUAUUUAUUUAUUUAUUUUUUGACAGGCAGAGUGGACAGUGAGAGAGAGAGACAGAGAGAAAGGUCUUCCUUUUGCCAUUGGUUCACCCUUCAAUGGCCGCCACAGCUGGCUCACUGCAGCCGGCGCACUGCACUGAUCCGAAGGCAGGAGCCCAAGCACUUGGGCCAUCCUCCACUGCACUCCCGGGCCACAGCAGAGAGCUGGCCUGGAAGAGGGGCAACCGGGACAGAAUCCGGCGCCCUGACGGGGACUAGAACCUGGUGUGCUGGCGCCGUUAGGUGGAGGAUUAGCCUAGUGAGCCGUGGCGCCGGCCAACUGGAAGAAUUUCAAAAAAGUGACAAGAGGAAUUUAUUCCUCUAAAAAACUUGAGAGAAUUGGACUACAUAUAUAAAAAGCAUGUAUCAUAAACAACAUUCUGUUAGACAUGCUCAGGGUUUUAAUAUGUUCUUCACAAAGAGUAUUGAUCCAGUGCUUUUUCUUACAUCUUUCUGGUUAAUGUGUUUGCUGGUUGUUGAUUGUCCACUCCCCUCAAUACCCCAUUCUCAAUACCUCUGUCAUCUUCUGGUAAAACAUGGCACCAUCGUCAGCUAAGAGGCAAGUGCAUGGGAGUCUCAGCCAAUAAGGACAGCCCAUUCUCCUUACUGUCAUGACUGGCCAUGAUAACCCAGGCCUAUGCAAACAAAUCAUGGUGGUGUUCAGAACAAUUUGGGUAGAAAUUGGUAUAAGAAAAGUUCUAUGACCUAAUUUAGUUCAGUGAGAUGUAAUACAAGGGAUCCAAGGGCAAUGGGGAAGCUUCUAGAAAAAAGUAUCCUGUUCCUUUCUGGACUGUGCGGUAUGUAGAUGUGAGGCUCUGAUCUGCUGAAGCCGUGGGUGUUUCCAUGAUGGAAGCCUACCAGGUUGAAGGUGAAGCUUUAUCCACUGUUGAAAAAUGAUCUGUGGAUUUAAGAGCAGAAAGAUGCAGACACUUAAGGCCUUAGUGAUGUCCAUGAAUGACCAGUUCAGAAUUACUCCUACCUAUAGGCUCUCUUGUUUUAUGAACAAGACAUUUGGAGUAAGAUCUCCCUUUUAGUGUAUUUUCAAGUAUCUCAGCUCAUCUACCACUCUGAGGGCUAAAAUAAUCCCCUCAGAUGCUGAGUCUGUGAAGUCUCUAAACAUAGGAGGCAGAAUUAGACCACCAGCAGAUGGACCAAUGGAACUGAAUGCCCCUGCUUCCUGAGUGUUUAGCUUUUAUUUAUUUUUGUUGUUGUUGCUUUUUCCCACUCACCACCCUUAAGAUGUUCACAGAAUAUAUCCCACUUGGGAUAUUUGAUUAUCAAAAGAUAUAUAGCAGGGCCGAUGCUGUGGCAUAGUAAGCUAAGCCUCCUCCUCCAGGGCCAGCAUCUCGUAUAGGCACCAGUUCUAGUCCCGGCUGCUCCUCUUCCAAUCCAGCUCCCUGCUAAUGGUCUGAGAAAGCAGUGGAAGAGGCACAAGUCCUUGGGCCCCUGCACCCAUGUGGGAGAUCCAUAAGAAGCUGCUGGCUCCUGGCUUUGGAUUGGCCCAACUCCAGCCAUUGGGGCCAUUUGGGGAGUGAUCAGCAGAUGGAAGAUCUUUAUUUCUGUCUCUGCCUCUUACUGUCUGUAACUCUACCUAUCAAAUAAAUACAAUUUUAAAAAUCUUAAAAAAGUUAUAGCAUUAAAGGAACAUAUGUAGGAAGUGCUUGCUUCACUUAACACAUUGACAAGGAAUUUAAGACCCUUCAGUACAGAGGAUCAGAGGAUCUUAGAGGAGAAAUCUGAGUUACUGGAUGCCCUACACCAAUAAAUUUUCAAAAUUGUGGAACAGAAGAGUCUCAAAACCAUGACUCCAUUGAGAAAGACAUUAGAAUUGGUCACUGAAAAGUUCUGGAAAAUACCAUAAAGUAAAACUCUAAAAAGUAUUGUUGGAGGCUGGAUAGGAACCAGGAGGCAGAACACAUCAUGGUUAAGACCUAGGUGCCUGGACCUUGGAAUCAGGCAGACUUUUGUGUUAAAUUUCUGGGCCUACCUCUGCACCAAGCUUUCUCAUAAUAUCCUUAUCAUAGUGUUGACAAGAAUUUAAUUAGAAGUAUGUAUGUGAAUGUCCAUGAAAUAUUGGCUGAGAUAGAUCAGCCUGCUCCUUCUAUUGUUUGUAGUAUUGUAUCAUCAAGAAAUAAUUGUCAACUCUCAAGCUUUCUGUCCUUUGAUGUAAUUUUUUGGAGCUAGUUCAUUCACCUGACUGUGCAGCAUUGAGAUCUCCCCAACCCUAGAUGGUAGUAUUAUCUCUGAGUUGACAUAUCGUGGAAAUAGCUGACAGAACAAACAUUAUUAAACCAGAUCUGUAGCUGUAUUUGCUUGGUGUGAGUAAGGAGAGCAGGCAGCAGACCUUUACCUAUAAGUAGGGGCUGAGUCACAGUAUUAGAUGAUACACGUUAGUGAAGCUACACCAAGAGGCCGAAGGAACUGUAAUAAUGCAAGAAAGGGGCCAGCAUUGCAGUGCAGCCCCACAUGGGCGUCAGUUUGUGUCCCAGCUGCUCCACAUCUGACCCAGCUCCAUGCUAAUGCCCCUGGGAAAGCAGUGGAAGAUUGUGCAAAUACUUGGACCUCUGAACCCACGUAGGAGACUCAGAUGAAGCUCCUGGCUCCUGGCUUCAGCUGCUUUCACCCCUGGCUGUUGCAGCCAAUCAGGGGAGAGAAACUAUGAAUGGAAGAUCUCACUUUUUCUCUUUCCAUCUCUCCCUGUCUCUCCAUAACUCUGCCUUUCAAAUAAAUAAAAUCAUUUUUAAGAAAUCAAAGCAAAAAAAAAAAAAAGUCAAGGCAACAACUGAGCGCUCAGGGUCAGAAGCAAGGCCACCUUGGGGCCUGGACUAAAUCACACUAUUUGUUGUUCAUCUCCAAAAUAUUUAUGCAGGUGGAAAAAGUGUCAAUGAAUUUCAAGGAGAGUUCAACUGUUAGAAAUUUUCUGAGAUACCAUCUGAAAUUCCCCCAGCCUUUCUGGCUUCCACUUCUUUGAACACUUUGGACACUUGCCCACCCACCCAUACUUCUACACUUCCAUUCAUCUACUCAGCUGUGAUUGAAUGCUUGCAUGUGUGCCACUCCUCCCCCCAAAACUGAACUCCUGAUGAAAGGGACCACAUCUUACUCUUUUUCUCCCCUUGUUUUGAGAAUGUAGCUGAAGAUUUAGACGUGUGAAUAUGUGAGGGUACUUUGAAAAGUUAAUGGAAGUUAUUUUGGUGCAAAUUGAACGUGAAAUCCAGGCCUAUGAGGGGUCCCCAAGCAGUUCGUGGCUGGAAUGAGUGCUGGCCUAUUAGUUAAGAGGCCUCCGUUCCCUACCACAGUGCCUGUGUGGAUUAUGAGUUUGGGCUCCUAACUGCAGGUUCUCGCUAAUGCAGACCCUGGGAGACAGCAGUGAUGGCUCAAAUACUUGGGUUUCUGCCACCCACAUGGUGGGCCUGGACUGAGUUCCUGGCUCCUAGCUUUGACCACUAACUAUCCUCCACCACUGUGGGCAUUUGGAGAGUGAACCAGCAGAUAGGAGCUAUCUUUCUCCCUCUCUGUGCCUCUCAAAUAAAUAAAUUAUUCUUAAAUUCAUGGAGAAAGUUUAUUAUGAAUAAACUAUGCAUGGAUUUCAAUUUUUUCACCAAAAGAAGCAUCUUUUAAUUCCAUUUUCCACCCAUUUUUUAAGUACCCACAUUUGUGAAAGGACUCCAAUUGGGCAGAAUCCUAUUUAUGCCCAAAUUAGGGCUUAAGAGACAUCAGAAUCUCAAAAUAAAUCUUUAAAAUAGUAGUAGUUUUUGAAGUUGCCAAAUCUGUAAUAUGCUUCUAGGGACUUUUGUAUCUGUAGCAAUUCAGUGACUUGUCAAUCCUUUAAAGAUAAAACUUGGAUGUUGCCCUCAGGACUUACUAGAAAAAAAGAAGUGAAACGUAGGAGUGUAUAGUGCCCAUUCGGUGUCCAAAGGCACUCAGCAGGCGUUAUCUCAUUUGAGUUUCACAAUAAUCAUGUGAGGGGAUGUUAUCAAGCCUGUUUGAAAACAAGGAAACAAGCUCAGGAAGAUUCGAUAGCUGGUCUAAGGAAAGUGACAGAGCUGAGAUGCGAAGCCAGGCCUUUGAUCCCCAAAUCGUGAUUUUUCACUGUGUUAGUUCAGAUGUUUCAUUCUUUGAAUACAUGUUCCUUUUCAUUAUGAGCUUUAGCAUUCAUCAAAGGAAAUGUCUGUAUAUGUAAAUUCCCUACACUGAUAGACCAAGUGAUUAUUUAUAGCCUGUUGACAUUUGCUGAGUUUUCUCUCACAUUUACAUUAGCCUGACACUCCCUAGAGAAGGCUUGGAAAUGUUUUGAUGGCAUGUCAGAGAUUUCUAAAUGUAUAGUCACCGAUUCAUCCUACAAAUAGUUAUUGAAUGCUUGCUAUCUUCAAGGCGCUGUGCUGGGGUGAAGCAUACGUUCUUUUGGCGCAGUUACAAAAGAGUAAUAACUAUUAAAGGACCUCCAUUCUUUAAGAAUUUUUCUAGGCAAAGAUUCAAAUAUACAAGUACAUGAGUUGUAUGGGAUUUAUCUGUGAGAUCCAGGGGUAUUCCUGGCAACCCAAACACACACAAUUAGAUAUGGAACCAAGGGUAUCUGACGUGGGCAGAAGAAAGAGAAAACUCAACACAAAAGGUGAAAGAGUUGAGAGACCUGGAAAACAUUCAUAAUCAAAGAGAGAUUUUUUCUUAACCAGUAGUAGUCAAAGAGUGAAAGAUCAGCAGAAAACAAGAGUUCAAGAAUACCCUGCUGUAAGGAAUGCUUGAUCUUGCUUGAGCCCAUAACUUAAUUCUUCGAUGUUCCAUUUAUUUUUUUCUUCUUAAAAAAUCUUUAAAUUUGGAUUUGUAAUUACUUUUUAACACAUGCAAUGUGAUUUGUGGAUGCAAUUUUAAGAACAUAAUGUUCUGUUUCUUUAUUGGUAAAAUAUAGCGAUAAUAACCUGAGUUGCCAUUGUGGUGCAGUGGGUUAAGUCACUGCUAGAGCUGCUGGCAUCCCAUAUCAGAGCACCAGUCCCAGUCCCAGCUACUCUGUACUUAGGAUCCAGCUCCCUGCAAUGUGUGGGGAAAGGCAGUGGAAGUUGGCCUAGGUACUUGGGCCCCUGCCACCCAUGUGGGUAACCAGGCGGGAGCUGCUGGUUCCUGGAUUCAGCCUGGUACAGACAUGGGUGUUGUGACCCUUUGGAGAGUGAACCAGGGAUGGAAUGUUUCCAUCUCUCUCUCUCUGUCUCUCUCUCUCUCUCUCCACUUCCCUCUCUCACCUUCACUGCCCCACCCCUUGGACAGUCUGCCUUUCAAAUAAAUAGCUAAAUACAUCUUUUAAAAAUAACAGCUUAAUAAAAUGUAAAGUGAUACACAAAUGCUAAAAUUAUACAAUUAUUAAAAUUUAUCCUAAGUUUUCUUUGAUGCUCUGAGAAUCUUGGCUACAAGUAGAAGCAAACACGUGGUGAAAUGGAGAGAAUGAAGGGUUGAUGACAGAGAAGGGCCUGGAGUAUACAGCAGGGAAGGAGAGCUCCGUGUAUACAAAUGGGUCAACACAGGCAAAAAACUGUUGAGAAUAAGGAGGGAGUCUGAAUUUUGAACUAGAAAAUUCAGAAACAUUUAUCCAAAUACAAAACACAAUGAAAGAGGAUGAGAAGAGUAAUUUUUCUGGUAUACACACGUAUCUAGUCCUCAUCAAAAUGUAGGAGACGACUUAAAUGAGAUGCAGAUUUGUUGUUCUGCAAAUGCAGUAGCUUUGGUUUUUGUGCUCUGCUUCGUUAUCUGUCUUUUGUUAUCAUCCAGAGAAGCAAAAGCUAUUUAAUCUGAGUGUAUUUAAGGUGAGAGUAUCUGGAUUCAGUGUCUUGACAUUCAUUCAGAGUUAUCUCUUCAUGUUUAAUAGGCUUGGAACAUCAAAGAGAUUUUCUAUUUGAGCCAGCCAGCCAAAAAAAUAAAAUUAAAAACCAGUUUGCAGGACCUGGGACGUGGGCAGGUUCAUCCAAACCUUCACUACCCUGUGGACAAGGCACUGGAGUUGGAUUGUGACCUCAGGAGAUUAUAAACUGCUUUCCGCCAACAUCAGCGUCCAGGAGCAUGGCACAUACUAGGUGCGAAACAAGUAAGUGGCGUUUUCUCUUUGAGCUUCGGGGAAUGUUGAUUCGUCAGGUAAGUGGUCAUUUUGUUGGGGGACGUGUGCUUUUGCCAAGCUGCAUGUGCAUUGCCUGUGAAAACCAAAAAGCAACCUAGAAGGCGUGAGAGGACUUGGACAGGCUUCAGAUUGAGAAUGCUGCCGCGUGUUCAGUCUCUCUCAGGUGAUUUUUUCUGAGCUUUACUUUGGAGUUGUCACACACUUUGUUCACAAGCCUGGAAAAGGGCCCAAGAGUGAUUAAGUGUUGAUGAAAACUUGCCUUUCACACAUUCUCUUUAUGUGGGUUUUCUUUGCUUGCUUGCUUUUUUGAAAACUUCUUUUUGCCUUUAUUGGAAUUUUUAAAUGACCUUCAUUCAGAUUUUGGUAAAACUCCUUAGAGAGGCAUUUUGCUGAAGUUUUGCUACUUAUGAACAGUGAGACUGUAUUAUUUGGCGCUAUUGUUCCCAAGGAUCUUCAAUAGUCUUUUUGUCUCCUCCUCCGGUAUUGCAGUGGCCUUGUCUAUCCUGUCGGAUGGUCCAUUGGCUCUUGGCACAGUGUGGUAACUAAGGCCUACCUCACAGCGCUGUUUGAUUAAGUUAUCAAAUCUGAUACAUUCCUAUCUUUCCCUUUAUACUGAUAUGGACAAUUUUUUUUUACAUAUUUCUUUUUCUAUGCCGGGAAUUGAGAGUUGUUGUUUUUCUAGGUUUGUUGUUGGGACCAAGAUUUCUUUUCUUUGAAAGAUUGGCCAAGGAGUAAUCCGGAAGUGAAACGAAUAGCAGUGGGGAGAAAGCAUCCUUUGAUUGCACAUAAAAUUCCUUAGUGGAGUACACACAACAUGUGAUGAUUUAUUUUAUCUUAUCUUCUGGUGGUUGAGUCCUCCACUUAUUUGAGACAACACAGAAAAUGCUAGACCACCUUGUCUUUUAUAUGGAAUACUGGAAAUGAAAUGUCCCCACGUAUAACAUGUACUUGGUUGUCCUAGGUAAUUGCUUAAGAUUACUGGAUUGAAUGUGAUCCAGCUAUAUUCCAUUAUCCACUCCUCCUUAUUGCUUAGCCAAAAAAGUCUCACUUUUAUUUUCAUUGGUUUACGUGAGAGUUAUGUAGUUUGUUGCUUGAAGGGACUUCUAUAUAAACAUUUAUAUCUGUGUGGCUUUUGUUUUGCUUUUGAUAAUAUGACCAUAAAAUAUGUUUCACUUGUAUUGGUGUGUGUUUAACGUUUGAAGAAGAGUCCCCAGAGGUCAGCUAAAUUGCUCUUGAAACGAUCAAAAGACUAUAGAUGUUGCUUUAAAUUACCUGUAUGGGAUUUGACCCCAUGCUGUUUUCAGUCCUGCCACAGAAUUUUUCUAUUAAAGAUUCUGGAUUAAAAAGAUCAGAAAACAGGAGGCAGAAAGAUGGAAAGGUGAAGAAGGUUAGAUUUCAAACUUGCAUAGGCUUUUCCCAAGACUUUGAAGCCUAUCAGAGACCCACAGACAUGUGGACCAAGGUGUUAUUUGAACGACUUGCUUAACAAUGGUCUAAUGUGAACCACAUUUUAAAUUGACAAAGUUAGCCCAUUCUGGGAGGUUUUUAAUCUUUGCCUCUGACCUUAUUGGAUGCCAUAAAUGAAAUAUGGUGGUAUAGGUUUGAAAAGGCCAAGGGCUACCCAUUUAUACAAUUCCUAUGAUGGGGAGGAAAAAAAAAAAAAACAGGAGUGAACAAAUGUGAUGUGUUUAACUCCAUCCCCUUAACUCAGGCAGCAGUAAUAUAAUGACUCUUUGGUUCCAACGUGUAACCCAGUUUUGGUCUGGGAUGUUCCUUUGUUGUCUUUAAAUUCUUUUCAUUUAUUCAGUAAGCCAUGCAGAAAGGUCAGAUUUGGCGAGGUGGCUGAGUUUUAUUUUCCCUACAAAGAGAACUUGAAAAUACCUUAUUUGAGAUAAAGUCUACUUCUACCAUGAAGAUCUUCCACUUUGCAAUCAGGUUUCUACCAGUCAACUUACCUAACAUAGCCUCGUUUUUCUUACUGAAAAUGUCAUUCUCGCUCUCUCUAACAUUAAAUGACCAUACCAAAUUUCCACUGCUGUCAACACUAUCAAAUUAUGUGAGUGAUAAUUACUCAACAUUCGUUUCUGUACUGUUUGAAAGUUCUUAUGUAGUGCCAGUAGCUACAAGAUAGUAUACUUCCUCAACAUCAGGUUUUUAAUUAUGCUAGAUUCUAUACAUAGCAUUUGCCAUAUAUCCAAAUAUAUUGAUCAAAUAUAUCAUGGAAUUGGAGUGAGUUAUGAAUGGUAUCGUAUGGAGCCUUGCUUCUAGUGCCUUGUGCAAGGGCUACGCGGAUCACAAAAAGGAUAGUGUAUCCUUGUCCUCAAGAAGCUGCAGUCGGGUGGGGGAGGGGAAUGCAAGCUGUGCCAGCCUGAAAAAGAUGAUGCGAGAUGGGAUAUGAAGCCUGGUGUAGAAAAAAAUGCCCUGGGAGAACGGGGGUAUUGGAAUCUGCUCAGUCAGCUGUGUUGAGAACACAUAGUUGAUUUUUCUGUGAUUGAUCUGAUCUUUUGGAAUGUUCACCAUACCAGGUGCGAGAAAUUUGGACUUGGUGAGUAGCAUGUCUCAAAUCUUUUCUAAUUUAAACAGUCUCUUCCAUUGCCCCCCCCCAAAAAAAAUAAGGGCAGAGUUCAACUCCUUUUGGUCCUGGCAGAGAUCCUCUCUGCUCUGUGCACCUGUAACCCCACCCUUCAUGGCUGCACGAGGGGGCUUGGGGAUUGCCUUCUGGUGGUAUACUGGUUCUCAUGUGUGCACUGGGCAUGGCCAGGACCAGCAGAGCUGAGUCAGGGUUUGUGUGGGGCCUUCAGCAGCUGCUGUGAGCUGUAGUUUUGACUUGCCUGCCAUGGCUCGUUCUCCUGAGGUCUAGCUAACUCCCAUGUGGCCGCCAGCUGUAUGAUCAUCCUGUAGCCAGGCUACAUGAGUAGUUUUUGCUGGAGAGUUCACAACUGGCACAUCCAGCUGCCUUCUCCUUCCUGCAAGCACAGGGAACUUGUGACUUUCUCCCUAAAGCAGCUCAGCUAGCUCAAGUCUGCUAGCAACCCGAGAAUCCUUCAGGGCAUCCAACCAUUGGACCUUCCAGCUCGUUCCAGGCACCCUUUGAAACAAGUCUCUUCCCAAUAUCCUCUGCAGAAGGCAGGGCAACAGCCUCUGUGCCUUCAGCUUUUCCCACAGCCAAUCUGACACUCCUGCUCACUGGGAUAUGAAAUAAGCAGGAGAGCUCAAGGUACCUUUCUCUGCUUGCCUUACCUCUGUGUCAUCCUUUCCCACAGUCCUUCUGGAAUGCUAUUCUACAUCCUGAGGUCUCCCUGCUACUGGCAUAUAAUAGAUUCUAAGAUCUAUGCCUUGGCUUGGCUCUCCCUAAGCUAAAUGAGAAAGUAAAUAGGACCUCAACAUAUUCGUUCCUCUUCCAGUCCUGACCUUCGUGACUGUUGACCCAAUGCAGACAUUCUGUUUGGUCAUCAAAGGCUGAAUACUGACUUUUUCCUCCCCUUCUCCCUUUCUUUCAUUCAUUUCUACCACAGUCCAGGGCCUCUCAGUACUGGGUAUGUUGGUGUCUUAUACUCACAAGUGAGCACGUACACAGAAAUGCAAAAGAGAAAAUCACAUUAAAAUGUGUCUUUCAUAUCAUGUACCUUCCAGGAGAUUGGUGUGGGUUCAGGGCAAUUGUGUGUUUGAUAAUAGGAGAUGCGACACAGAAGUUAUUGUAUUUGAUAGCUUGUACUGGGGAUGUAAGAACUGAGACUAGAAAGAAGGGGAAUUUGGAUGACUGGCCAAGGGGUUCGAUCACACAGAGCCACAUUCGCAAAGUGAUUUUGGCAAAGGAGUAGUACAAUGAGAUGAUCUGAGAGACACAGAACAGACCUGUUUAGGGUUUGUUACAUACCAUAUGUCCCUUUGGAGUUUCAUAUUGAAUGUUAGCUUAUUAAUAUUUUGGGUAAUUCUUACCAUAUGGGAACACUUGUAAUGCAAUUUAACCCACAUGGGCCAUGUUCAUGCAACACCUGUUACCAACCCAAGAAAUUCUCUUUGAGAGCUGCUGCUAAAGUCGUAAUAAAGCUGUAAAUACUUUUUGGUGGGAAUUAGCAUAAGAAAAGCAGGGCUUUAGGAAAUUCGUUCAGUUUUUAUUCUGGAUUUACUGUGUAUAAGUACAUUGUGAUUAAUCUUUCCAAAAAGAUGACUGACAGAUCAAUUCUUGAGAAUUUAGAAUUUCUUAGAUUUGAGUUUUUCUGUUUGAGAGUUAUAAAAUGUCAACUAUAAAGUGUCAUCUAGCUAUAUACAAGUAAAAUAAAUGGCUUUUAUUUGGCAUAUCAAGAUAAUUAAGGAGUUUACUAAUCUUUUCCCAAAAUAAUUGCUAGCAGUAAAUAGUGUAUUUUCUUUGCUGAGUAAGGAUGAUGUACAAAUGGUGAUGGAUAGUUCAUGAUGUUCAAUGCUUUGAAUAUAACACCAAGAUAAUGAUAGAAAAAGUUUUUUUCAUGGUACUGUUGUUUAACCUUUUUGGUGAUCUUUGAAAGGACCUAUCCGUAAUAAAACUUGGAGAGGUCUACAUUUCAGUUUAUAAUGAAUUAUCUCCUCUUUUAAUUGAAAAUGUUGCAACUUUUUAUGUUAAUCAUGGUAGAAUGCCUCAGAGGACUUUUUAAAUUAUGGUUUUAUGACCUGACGAAUUUUAUGUUUUAAUUUUUAAUUUCUUUCUGCUGCCUAUGUAUAGUGUUCUUGCUUUUAAUGUGUUUUUAUCUUCACUGACUAUCUGAGCAUAUUUAAAACGUCCUACAGUCAAUGUAGUACUAAGUGUCAAGAUCUAAAGUCAUCUAAUUCAAGGGCACAUUAUUCAUCAUUAGUCACCUUGUCCCCCUUUACAAAGUGUAGACCAUUUGGAAAAUAAUUAUGUAUUUUUAAAUCUUGAUAACACAUUGAGUCCACUGUAAAUUUUUGCUUUACCAAAAGUUAUUUAUUUAGCUACAAUAUAUCCAAUUUUAUUCUUUUUUUUUUUUAUUUAGAAUUUUAUUAUUUUUUUUUAAAUUUUACUUGAGUUACACAAGUUCCAUGUACUUCAUAUAUACAGAUUUAGGAACAUAGUGAUGCUUCCCCACCCUCUACCCUCCCUCUUGUCCACAUAGUUUUAUUCUUUAAAGCCUCUUCCUUUGUCCAUUUCAACCAUUUGAUUAUUGGAAAUUUUGUCAGUAAAAGCAAAUAAAUAUGAAAUUUGAUAACAAAGGAUUGUAAGCAAAGACUACUUAUUUUUAUUAUGUUAAAAGGAGUUAAAAUAUACAACAGAGUCCUACUCACACUCAUCAUCAUAAUAUUCCUUGAGCCAGCUAACAUAGUUAUUUGCUGUAGAAAUAUACUAAGUUUUAUUUGAAAUGUGAAUAUUUAUAGGUAUAAUGUCUGAGGUUCCCCAGAUAGGGGUUAUAUCAUAUCCUCUGGCAUAUUUGCCUUUGCCACACUUUGUCUUUGAGUGUCUACUUUUCAUUGUGAUCAUUGCCAUACCAAGGAAUGGCCUGUGAUGAAAUUCAGACUUCAUAUUGCAAUAAUUUAUCAUCACUGGCUAGGAAAAGCUAAAACUAUCUAAAUUUUUAUAAUAGGGAACACUAAAGGAAACCUUAAGUGUAUUUCUUAGAUAAACCUUUUUGGGAAUGUCACAGAUAAGCCAGUCUAACACCAGAUUGUUGACGGGAUUAAGUUCUCAUAGUGCUACCUCUCAAUGAAUCAUGACAUUCUUACACAACCUAACUCGUACUGUAAGCUGAAAGUCCUUAUGUGGUCAAUGUUUUGUCUUUUAUUUUAACUAAAAUCUUUAUUCAGCACGGAUAGCUGUUGUUGUAUCACCUUAGUGUUUUAUGUUUAGAUUGGAUUGACUUGUAUUGAAUAAGGAAAUUAGUCUGUAAUUUUGCAAUUGAAUUUAGGAAGGAAAAUAUGAUAGUGAUCAAAGUCUAUGUUAGGAUAUUAGAUUGAAAACCAGCAAGUUCAUGGUGAGAUAGUUGAUGGCAUAUUUUCAGAUGGAUUCAGUUUAGUGGUUAGCUGUGAGUUUUUCUAUUUAUGGGGAGAAUAGUUUAUGAAAUUGUAGGGUGAUUUAAUAGGACUCAGGGAUAAAUUCUAUAACUCCAUAUAACACUGAGUAAAUUGAAAGGCACUAAAAAUUAUUGCAGAGAUUGUUUUAAUUCCAUAAUGCUUUAUUUUGGUAAUGACAUUUAAUUUUCCUUGUCGGAAAUGAACAAAGAGUAAGUUAAAGGUGACUUUAUCUUGUUAAAUUACAGGUCUUAAUUUUGAUUGCAAUUCGCCCGAGAGCACUUAGCUGAAGUAUUUACCUGCAUUAAUUUACACUAUUCACACCCCAACUGUAAUGGAUAAAAAGUCUGCAUUUCUUAUAAAAACAGUUCAAUCAUCUCUAAACAUUUUAUUACCUGCUGAUAAUAUUUCAAGGCAAUUUUGAAUUUCAUUUAGUUGUCUUGAUAAACUCUAAAGCCGAACGCUUUGUUUAAUCUAAAAAUUAGGGUUUCAGAAUCACCAUAGUGAUUGUUUCCUACGAAGAAUGUAUUACUUCAUAGAUUUUAAAUUGCUCAAGGGUACAAAGAAGUAUUAAAAAUAAUUUCAUAGAUCAUAACAAAGCCUAUGUUUUAUAUUAGUUGGUUUUGUUUUGAAAAAUGUAAAAUUAAUUUUAGCAGCUAAGUCUAUUAACAUCAAAGGGAAAAUCUAUUUAAGUGAAAAAUUAUUUUCAUAUGUAAGGUUUUUUAUUAAGCAAUUUUAUGAAAAAUAUUAAUGGAAGUUUUUUCUUACAUAUUGAAUCAGUUACCUUAUUUGAUAUGUUUCCUUGGAAAGCAAAUAUAUUUUCCUUAUUAGAUCACUCUAAAGAGAUAUUAAAAUGUCCUGUGUAAUCUUUUUGCUUUAUAGCUAGUGGGAAGGCAUUUCUAUUGCUAGCCCUGAGAAUUUCUUCCUGUAUGUGUCUGUGUGUCUCAGUGAGAAGGUCUAGACAGAGGUACUCUCAGGCAAACCGACAGCACAAGUGACAAAUUUCUGUUUUGCUUCUAUGGUGAAAUUUAUCUAAUUUUGCAACCAAAUGUAUCAACUCUUUCCAUUCCCAUAAUCCAACUUUUGUCCCCUAUCCAAUUUUACUGUGAGACAGUGGGAUGUCGCUCCCCCUCUUCGCGGAGGAACGACACAGGACCCUGCGCUGUUUUUUUGUCUGCUCGGCCCUUCCCGGGUUUGCUGCUGGUUCUUCCCAGGUUGGCUACCGACCCUUCCACCUCUGUGGAAGGGCGGUUCCCCCUGCCACCUUCCCCACUUCCGCGGGGGAGCGGCACACCGCCGGCCGGCUCUCUAGGGGGCUGCUCAGAUGUUCCUCAGGUGUUCCUCUAGAUAGAUGUUCCCCAGUGCAUGUUGUCUCUCUCCUCCUUUAUAGUCCUCUUCCACCAAUCCCAACUCUGCUACCCACACGCCGAGUACGCUGCUCUCCUCCAAUCAGGAGCAGGUCCUGCUGUUUAUUGGUUGAACUGGAGGCAGCUGUGUAUAAGCUGUUUCCUCCUCUCCCAGCGCCAUAUUGUGGGAGAGCAGAUGCAUAGAAUAAGUCUUAAUUCGAGUAACUUAGUCUAGUCUGAGUUGCUCCCCACAGGGGGAGUCUGUGCUUACCCACCCCUGAGCCAUCACUUCCUUCUUAACCCAAUUGCAAGAGGACUCAGUGGUCUUUGAAACACUAAGUACGGGGAACUUUUUUAAAGGUCCUUUUUAAAAUGUCUGUUAUUUAAUGAAUUGUUGAGUGCCACUAUCAAGCAGUACACAGAUAAUAUGGUCUAGAUAUACACAUUUUAAUUUAAAGAGAAUUUAUGCUUUUCUCUUCACACAGAAACGAGAAUUUUGGCAAAAAGUGCGUAUUGACGUAUAUCAAACACAAUGGAAGGAAUCAUAUGGUUUUUGUAUGUGAGGCAUUUGUGUUUGAAGUUUUGCUUGGUUUAAUAUGAACUUUUGCAUUUUUUCACAAUGUACAUUUCAGAAGUAAAAUCUUUUUUGAGUUUUUUAGCAGUGGGUUUCCUUUUGUGCUUUCUGGAAGUCGGAUUCUUUUCGUGAAGAGUUUUAGAGAAAAGUUGAAACCCACUUGCGUGCCAACAGACUUGCCUCUUAGCCUCUCCAGCUUCCCUUUCUCCUGCCACCUGCCUCUCAGUGGACCAGAAUCUCCCUUGGUUUUCUUGGCAGUGGGAAAUGCCCGUGUCCUUCACCUUGGCUCCCUCCCCCCCAGCAUGCUUUUCUUUUCCUGUGACCCAUGAGUUUCCAGUGGAACCUGAGCCACUUGGCCUAUUCCAGAUUGGAAGGAGUCUUGACAGUCCUUAAAGAUUACACCAGUAUCUUUAUGAGUUUCUAAGGAAGACAAAGCGUAGACUUUUCCCUGGAGUUUAACCUGGGGGAAUUUCUCCUGCCUGCAGCCUUCAAAGCCUAUCUUGUGUCUUUGUGGAAGAGCUAAGAGGAGAGGCCAAGUUUUUCUUUACUUCUGCUGCUGCGAAGUAAAUUCACAAAGCACGCCCUACUCUGAGCUUCCAAGGGCAGAGCCUGGUGGACUUGUUCCAAGUCAGGAGUGGUGUUACUGUGCUUUCAUGCACUGCCUCCCCUCUGCUACUGAACCGAGGGAUGGCAGAUUUAAUCUAAUUAAAUCCCCCUGCAGUGCUCUACAUUUUGCCCAAAUACUGUUUCCAUUGUUGAAGGCUUGGUGUGCAAGUGUACCAUACUGGCUGCUCUCUGUGAUGGCCAGACUCUUGGAACAUGUGUGCACUGAGAGUUCAGUAACUGUUAUUCAUGGAUUUGAAUAUAUGGAAUAUUAAGAGUACCAGGAUUACUGUGUUCUGUUGGAGGAGUUUGUUCAUCAAACAGUAGAACUCUCUGUGGCUGGGACUUCACACUGAAGAGUGGCUUUUUCAGUAUUGAUAGUGAUUUCUAGAGCAACCCGUGUGAUAUUAAAAUGUUAUGCUAUCCUCUAGCCCGAGGUCAAAAAUCAAAGCAUAAUUAUUAAUGUAUAAUUAUGCAAAAAUGAUCCAGCAUCCAUACAACCUUUCUUAGGGAAGAAUUUAUGAGAGGAAAAGUCCAUAACAUUCUGGGGAAAUUCAUCAUUCAAUUAGGAAUUAAAUUAGAGUGGCAGCAGAUAUGAUUUAUAAAGUUAUGAAACACAUACUAAAUGUAGAAAAGUAUAUCUAAAUUGAAGUAGUUGAUUGAAUUCCAUGAAAAUAGCAAUGUUCAACUGUUUUUGAUCUGCAAAUACAAAGAUUUUAUACAGCUUAAUAACUUGUGGUUAUAUCAAGCAGUACUAUCUAGUUGAAUUUUAAUUCCCUGGGGUAACUGUUGUUUAAGAGUAAUGAUCACCACACAGCGAUUGGAGUAAUCAUGACUUAGCAUCUUUUACGUUUUCUUCUUGGGAAAAACAUGGCAUCAAGUCGUGUUUUCAAAACCAGGCUCCCUUCUAAUUGUCCCUUCACCCCAGGUACCCAGAGCCAAACUGUUGGUUUACUAUUUUGGAAACAUCUAACGGAAAACUAAAGGCCUUCUGAGGCUUGCAUAUUUUGCAGAUAGCUCUUUGAAUACACUGUUACAUAAAAAUGUGACCCCAAUAUUUAAAACUGAAAUAAUUGUCUAUGUUGAAGCUAAGAAUGAAAUUCCCCUAAUUAUUAACUCAUGGAAUUCCUCUUCAAUGCCUUAGGCAGGAUCAGCUCCAGUUUUGAAUCAGGUAAAAACUCCUGUUUAACUGCCAGAAUGCAAUGAUGUAGCAAAGCUUCAUUAGAUUGUAAAUCUAUGAUUUGAGCCAUAGCACUUGAAAGCAAAAACAGUUUUGGAAUAUAGUGGGUAACUUAUUUUCCAUUACUGUGAUAAAGUAUACAUGACAAAAAAUUGGGGUCACACAGCCAUUUGGGGAUAAAGAAAUCCGUUCAUAUAAAAUAAACUGUAAGAAUUAUGUUUUAAAUGAUUGUAGGAAUAGUCAUUUUCUGGAAAUAGUAGAUAUGUGUACAAAUCAAAUCACCUAAGCAUUUCAUGGUUGCAUUACGACUUCAGCUGAAUUUCUUGAUAGAAUUAUACCUACAUUACCACCAGCUGCCUCUUCUCAGUCUUAAGUAUAAUUCCAUUUAAGGAUUCUGUUAUUAUAUAAAAACAGAAUAAUAAUCUAGUUAUGUAGUUCAAAAGUCUUCACAAUUGGGUGCUCUUUGAUUGUGCAUUGUGUGAACAGCUCAUCUGACUAAUCCUUGAUUCGUCUUUAUCACCUGGUCUUAUUUCUGCAUCCUUGAAUAGCACCUGCCUGAGGAGACUGCAACAGUUCCAGUUGUCUGAUCAGUUUGUUUCUAGGACUGUAAGCAGAGCAUUUUCUAAGUGGGAAGGGCCUCUUACAAUAAAGACAAGUUCAGCUCCAAAGGUUUCAGUGUUUUGCCCAGACUUAGGCUACUUCCUGCAUGGAGAGAGCUCUCUUGUCUACAGCCAUACCACCCUGAACAAACCCACUCUUGUCUAAUCUUGGAAGCUAAGCAAGGUCAGGCCCAGUUAGUACUUGAAUCGAGAGUUCUCUCUAUUCUACCUUCAUUUCUUGCCUCACGUGCUUAUAGGUCAACACUUUGUAUUUAGGUUGAGAUGCAUUCUUCAGUGUUACCCACUCUAUAGGAAUGCCUACACCAACACUGUACGAAUUUCCUCCCAUACAGUAGAUGAGGAGCAAAUGAGUGUGUCGUGGCUCCCUGCGUGGUGAACUUCCUAAGAACAGGCAAUAUAUUUCUUUUGCAUCCACUUAUAUUUCUAAUAUAAAGGACUUGAGUAAUUGAGGUACUCAAACAUCUUAGUUCUCUUAAUUUUUCAAAAACAUCACUGACAGUGGACUUUGCUGUCUCCACUUCUGUUUAGGUAGAACACCCAGAAAUCACAAAUGUGGUUGUAGUUCCUCAAAGGAGUUAGUAAUUCUAUGCUAAAAAACAGCCUCAAAACCGAUCCAGAGCGAUUAAGGUGCUUUCAAAUCUCUUGGGGACUAUUCACUUAUAAUUUGUUAUUUCUUGGACUGUCAAAGGCAGCUUUUAUGAAUGCAAAAAUGAUUGUUAUUUACAGUCUGUUUGCCUUCGAUAGAGACUGUGUGCUGCUAAGGUUACCCUGGGUUUCAGCGGGAAGAGCCACUCUCCCCUUUUUAAGAUGAGUGGUUCCUUGAAUUGGAGCAGAGCAGAAAUGCCUUUCUUUUUGUUGUGUUAAUAAAAACAAAAGAAUGGAAAAGAGAAACUUGUACUGCAUUCCUGUCAAGUAGAAUGAAAUAGUGAUUAUGCCAUGAAGUGAGUGUGUUGGAUGUAGGCUGCUGAUGUGAAAAAUUCAAUGCUGCAGGUAGAAUUUUUGAUAUUUCAGUUGACAGUCUGUUCUGGAUUAAAUCUCAGAUUUAAAAAAAAGUUACUUGUUUAUUUUCAUUUUAUAUUUUAAAAAUGUAAUUAUUUUCACUUUAUUUAAGAGAGGAGAGGAGAGGGAGAAAGACAGGAGGAGAGAGACAAAGAGAGAAAGAGAGCUCCUUCAUCUUCUGUUUCAGUCCCCAAAUGUCUUAAACAGCCAGGGCGGGGCCAGGUGGAAGUGAGGAGCCCAGAACUCCAUCUAGGUCUCCCGUGUGGGAGGUAGGGCUCCAAGUACUUGAGCCAUCGUGACUGCCUCCCAGGGUGCAUACUAGCAGGAAACUGGAUCAUAAGUGCAGUAGCCAGGACUUGAACUGGACACUUGGAUAUGGGAUGGGGGGGGGGGUCCCAAAUUGCAACUUAACUACUGUAUCAAAUGCUCACCUCUCAGAUUUUUUUUUGGAAAAAAAAUAGAGAAAAAAAGGGAAGAAGUUAGUGGUUAACAAAUAUUUUAAGCAGAAGUAAGAAAAUCAUUUCCAUUCAUCCAGAUAGGGACAUUGUACUCAGUUCUUAAAUGUGACCCAUCUCUUAAUCCCACAGAGCGACAGAAUUCCUCUUGCCAUUGAACUUGACUUCUUCCUCACAUGGUUAAAACACAUGCAUUUAAAGGAAGACAUUGUUGGCACACAGAGUUCCCUGUGCCUCUGCCGCACAGCAGUGAGGCUGUUAGUAUGUGACAAGUUGCCUUGCUGCCAUAUAAAAAUUCAAUUAGAAGCUCUAGAUAGAAACUUAAUUAAAAGGUUAUGGAAAUAAACACCCCAUGUACUGAGCCUUGGAAUUUGGCAAACUCUAGCUUUGCACAACCAUCAGAGAAAGUGAAUUCUGCAGGCACUGGGCUCCUUCCAAGAAAAAUGCUUUGCUGCUAGCAAUACACAUUCUUGGCCAUAACGAGAAACUUGGGAGGGGAAGUGUGUUUUCCUAUAAAUUAGUUGCUGAACAACUACUGCAUCAUUUAUCAAGGCCCCCUUUUGGAAUUUCACCUGAAAUACGCUCCCGGUAUGAAGGCCAGGAGAAAUCUAUGAGGUCUUUAAAUCUCCAGUUGGGUCCUCACAUUGAGGAGUCAAGGUGUGCACUGCCAUUUGUUUACCGCCGUGUUGAAAAUGUAUGCAGGUCUAUGAGCCUCUCACUCUUGAGUCUUAAUCAGAUGCAAGUCCCACGAUUAAAAUACAGACACUGCAACUCACAGUGUCCUCUCAAAAGGUGGAUGGAAAGUGUGCUUCCCAAUGGCUUUGGUUUGAAAAGUGAUUUGUCCCUCCCACCAUUUGAUUGCCAUUGUGGUGACAGUGGGAGAUGGGGCCUUUACUGGAUGAUGAGGCUAUUAAGAGAGAUGAAUGCCCUUCCUGUGGGGUGUGGGUAAGUCUCACAAGACAGGAUUAGUUGCUGCUAGAGGGGGUGGUUGUAAAAGUGAAUUUAGCUGCUUCUCGUGCUCUCUCCCACACACGACCACCUGCCCAUUUCCCUUCUACCAUGUUCCAAUGACCUUGGUGAUGCUACCACUGUGCCCUUGGGCCUCUGUUAGUCAAUAUAAAUUUCUCUCUGUAUAAAUUCCAUAGUUCCAGGUAUUCUAUUGUAGACUAACAGAAGAAAAGCAAUGGACUAAGACAUCAACCAAUAGUUUGCCCUGCUACUGUUGAGUUCCUAUCCUGGACCAGAUACUUAGGGUGCACUCAAUCAAUAAAGGUGAGUGAGAAGAUAUACUCUCCUGCAGUGAGUGCUACUUCUCCUUAGAACUAAUGAGGGUAAGUAAUAUACCCUGGAUCACACAGCCUUGAGUCACGCAGCUCCAAUUUUCUUCUGGGCAGUGUGACCACGGAGCACAUCUUCUUGAGCAAAAUAGGGUCCACUCCUUCUGAAAGACCUUGAUUCUCUCUGAUUCCAACCAGCUUGAUUCCUUUCAUCCAAGGGAAGUUAUAGAUGUUGUAGCUGUAGGGCCUAAAUUUAUACUACUUGGGAGACGCUGUUUUUUUGUUUUGUUUUGUUUGUUUGUUUGUUUGACAGGCAGAGUUAGACAGUGAGAGAGAGAGACAGAGAGAAAGGUCUUCCUUUUCCGUUGUUUCACACCCCCAGAUGGCUGCUACAGCCAGUGCACUGUGCCGAUCCGAAGCCAGGAGCCAGGUGCUUCCUUCUGGUCUCCCAUGCGGGUGCAGGGCCCAAGCACUUAGGCCAUCCUCCAUGGCACUCCUGGGCCACAGCAGAGAGCCGGACUGGAAGAGGAACAUCCAGGACAGAAUCCGGUGCCCCGACCGGGACUAGAACCUGGGGUGCUGGCGCUGCAGGCGGAGGAUUAGCCUAGUAAGCCGUGGCGCUGGUCCAGGAGAUGCUGUUUAAGAAAAAGAAUAAAAAUUCAGCACCAGUGCAAGUAUGUGAUGGUCUCCGAAGAAUCACCUGAAUUGGCUUCAUGGUAAACCCAUCUCUGUUCUUUCCACUCAUCUGUGUCCCCCAGCCUCACACUGGUUCUUCCUUAAGACAGUCAUUCUGGAGUUAGCGCGAUAUCCCAGGGGUUCAUCUCCUCAUAUAUUACUUUUUCCUUAGGUUAGGUGCAUCUUUUUGUAACUAGUUACUCCUAACUUCUGUGCCCCCCCCCAAAAAAAAAAACCAGGUGCCAAGUAAUUCAGAAAAAUUCCUUUUGUGAGGCAUCUGGAACAUAAAGACAUAGUUAUUGCUGUCAAGUGUUUUGCAAUCUAUAAAGACGGACAUUUUCAUAGGUAGGCUGCAGUAUUGUACAUGCUGCAAAAGGAGCACAUAUAAAAUGCUAAAGUAGUGAAGAUUUAACUUCAACUUGGACAUCUCCAUGAAAUCUUCUCCAACCCUCAGUGGUCUCCUCUGAAGAGUUGAGACGCUUUGCCUCUAUGCUAAAGUAUCACAACCCAACUCACACACACAGGCCUGAUCUUCCCUAUUAGACUGGAAGCCCCUCGAAGGCAAGUGAUCUAAGGAGUGGGUGCUAUAUAACUGUAUGACUGAGUGAAUGACUGAGCCAUUGGUGGAUGCAUGUCCAUGAGGCAUAAUAGCCUUUCUGAACAGCUUCAUCUGGAAGCUGGUCAGCAGAAGCUAUCAACAGCAGCUGUCAAUGAGUGUGGAAGCUGAGGCCAGACUAUCUGAAUUUUAAAUCUACAUUUUAGUGUGCUCCUGAUGGCUGAGGACAUUUGAUAUAUCAAAUGGGGAUUCACAAAAUUAAUUUCUUCUAUAUAUGAUUUUUAUGAGUUGAAAUUCACAAACAUAAAAUUAAUCCGUUUAUAAUGAACUAUUUAGUGUCAUUUAAUACAUUCAUAAUGUACCUGGUUCUGAAACAUUUUCAUCAUCCCCAAAGGAAAUCCAUAAUCACUAAGGAGUUACCACCCAUUUCCUCCUGCUCAUGACCAUGGGGAAUCCAAUUCCUCUCUCUAUGGAGUCACUAACUCUGGACACCUCACAGAAAUGGAAUCAAACGUAUAUGACCUUUCGUACUGAACUGCUUUCACUUAGCUUGAUGUUUUAAAGGUCACUCCACACUAUAGCAUGUGUCAUUCCUUUACUCCUUCGAUGACUGAUUAAUGUCACAUUGUAUGUAGAAGAGGGCUCUUCAAAAAGUUUGUGGAUAAACUGAAUUAAAAGAUGUUUACUUUGGUGCAAAAAAAAAAUGAAAUCCAUCCAUAGAUUUUUCAUCACACUCAUUUUCCAUAAGCUUUCUGAAGACUCCUUGUUUCAUCACAAUCUGUUGAUUAGCUCAUCCAUUUAUGGACAUUUGGGUUGGUCCCAUAUUUUGACUGUUGUGAAUAAUGCUGCCAUGAACAUGCAUUUACAAUGGAUUUGUGAGAAUUCCUAUUUCUGUUCUUUUGAGUAUAUACUAGAAGUGGAAUUUCUGAAUCAAAUGGUAAUUCCAUGUUUAACUUUUUUGAGGAACUGCCAAUUAAUUAUCCACAGUAGCUGUACUAUCUUAGAGUCCUGACACUAAUAUAUGAGGCCUCCAAUUUCUCCGUUUCCUUGCCAAUACUUAUGAUUUUCCUUUUUCUUUAAUUAUUAUAAACAUCCUAUUGGGAAUGGGAUACAUUUUCUAUCCAAAUUAUUCCUCCUGUUUUUAUAAAGAUGUUCUGUAUUCCUGAGAAUCAAUUUAUAUUCCACUUCAAGCUUUUAGCUUAAGUCCCAGAGUCUGAAUCUGGUUAUUGUAAAACAUUUUAAAGAAUCAUUACGACCACCAUGACAAGGAUACAUAAGUGAAGGAAAUAUGUUCAGGCUUAUACAACAGGAUGUACCAAUCAGUCAAAUUAUGAAGGUUGUUCAUCUAAUGAGGAUGCCUAGGAGAAAACUGUAGUGAAAUUUUAAAAUCCUGCAUAACAGCCGGCGCCGCGGCUCACUAGGCUAAUCCUCCGCCUAGCGGCGCCUGCACACCAGGUUCUAGUCCCGGUUGGGGCGCCGGAUUCUGUCCCGGUUGCCCCUCUUCCAGGCCAGCUCUCUGCUGUGGCCAGGGAGUGCAGUGGAGGAUGGCCCAGGUGCUUGGGCCCUGCACCCCAUGGGAGACCAGGAAAAGCACCUGGCUCCUGGCUCCUGCCAUCGGAUCAGCGCGGUGCGCCGGCCGCAGCGCGCCGGCCGCGGCGGCCAUUGGAGGGUGAACCAACGGCAAAAGGAAGACCUUUCUCUCUGUCUCUCUCUCUCACUGUCCACUCUGCCUGUCAAAAAAUAAAAAAAUAAAAAUAAAAAUAAAAAUAAAAAUCCUGCACAACACAAAUGAAGACUCAUAGGCAAAUUUCACUUUAGUCCUUUAACUCAGCCUUUGUAUUUUUAGAUUCAUCUGAAAAAUGGUUUUUCUGGACAUGGAUUUAAGAAAAAAAAAACAGAGCCAUGUAUUUAUUGUUCAAAUUGCACUUUAUCCUCGGCAGUAAUAGUUUGGUUAUUGUUGACAAGUUUUCUUAAUCAAGUACUUAAAUAUCUCAAACCUCUGACUGACUGCGAGUUUACACAGAAAGCGCAGCCUUUGAAGCCCAAUCAGUCCCAGGUGUUUCCUGUUUCCAGUUUGAAAGGAUGCAGUUGAGAAUUAAUGUGAGAACUGGACAGUAGGAAACUUGGGAUGAGGGUGGGGAUAUGCGCAGUGGACAUCUUCCCCAACUCUAAAACCAUUCACUUGUGGAAACUUGGACAUGAAAAAAGAACCCUUGAGAUCAGUGGUUUUCAAACAGAUCUUUUAGGAGAACUUUCUCCCAAUCCAUUUUUUUCCCAAAAUACAUAUAUCUCAGAGCCCUUACAUGAAAUAAGCAAGCAAGUAAAAGCACCAUAACAACCACACACAUACACACACACACACACACACA